GCCUUUGUGGUGUGACGGUAGCACACUCGGCUAGUAUUCGAGAGGUCCAGAUUCGAGUUCCGGCUAGAGCA
rfam:Stegodyphus mimosarum contig62303, whole genome shotgun sequence.